GACUAACGCUGGCGGCGUGCCUAAUACAUGCAAGUCGAACGCAGUGGGGACGGGUGAGUAACACGUGGGUAACCUCCCAUCAGAGGGGAUAACACUUGGAAACAGGUGCUAAACCGAUACUGAUGGAUGGACCCGGGGUGCAUUAGCUAGUUGGUGAGGGAACGGCUCACCAAGGCCACGAUGCAUAGCCGACCUGAUAGGGUGAUCGGCCACACUAGGAUUGAGACACGGCCCAGACUCAUACGGGAGGCAGGAGAAGGGAAGCGUCGGCAAUGGACUAAAGUCUGACCGAGCAACGCCGCGUGAGUGAAGAAGGUUUGCGGAUCGUAAAACUCUGUUGUUAGAGAAGCGGUAUCUAACCAGAAAGCCACGGCUAACUACGUGCCAGCCGCCGCGGUAAUAC
rnacentral:rRNA from 1 species